rnacentral:rRNA from 1 species
CAUGGGUGGCGAGUGGCGGACGGGUGAGGAAUACAUCGGAAUCUACCUUUUCGUGGGGGAUAACGUAGGGAAACUUACGCUAAUACCGCAUACGACCUUAGGGUGAAAGCGGAGGACCUUCGGGCUUCGCGCGGAUAGAUGAGCCGAUGUCGGAUUAGCUAGUUGGCGGGGUAAAGGCCCACCAAGGCGACGAUCCGUAGCUGGUCUGAGAGGAUGAUCAGCCACACUGGAACUGAGACACGGUCCAGACUCCUACGGGAGGCAGCAGUGGGGAAUAUUGGACAAUGGGCGCAAGCCUGAUCCAGCCAUGCCGCGUGGGUGAAGAAGGCCUUCGGGUUGUAAAGCCCUUUUGUUGGGAAAGAAAAGCAGUCGGUUAAUACCCGAUUGUUCUGACGGUACCCAAAGAAUAAGCACCGGCUAACUUCGUGCCAGCAGCCGCGGUAAUACGAAGGGUGCAAGCGUUACUCGGAAUUACUGGGCGUAAAGCGUGCGUAGGUGGUUGUUUAAGUCCGUUGUGAAAGCCCUGGGCUCAACCUGGGAAUUGCAGUGGAUACUGGAUAACUAGAGUGUGGUAGAGGAUGGCGGAAUUCCCGGUGUAGCAGUGAAAUGCGUAGAGAUCGGGAGGAACAUCUGUGGCGAAGGCGGCCAUCUGGACCAACACUGACACUGAGGCACGAAAGCGUGGGGAGCAAACAGGAUUAGAUACCCUGGUAGUCCACGCCCUAAACGAUGCGAACUGGAUGUUGGGUGCAACUUGGCACGCAGUAUCGAAGCUAACGCGUUAGUUCGCGCCUGGGGAGUACGGUCGCAGACUGAAACUCAAGAUGACGG